rnacentral:misc_RNA from 1 species
UGACAAAGUAAAUCUUGGUUUUGGAGGCCAUGACCUCAUAAAGCUGUAAGACAUUUGGAUGUUUAACCAGUUUCAUAACAGAUAUCUCUCUCUUGAUCUGAUCAAUCAGCCCCACCUUCAAUAUCUUUUCCUUUUCAAUGACCUUAAUAGCCACACUCUGGCCAGUUUUAAGAUUCCUCGCAUAGUAAACCUUAGCAAAGUUUCCUUGGCCUAACAAUCGCCCAAAGUCAUACCUCUCCAUCAAUACAUUCCCUUUAUGCUCCAUUGUAAACGUAAAAUCCUUAUAGACUUUAGUAAAAUAUGUCCUCUAGCUAGAAGCCUAUAAUUUAUAGGGAAAAGGUCUUUAGAACUCGAGAACUUAGCCGUCUUCACCAAGAUUGUGAUUUAGCACAGCAGGAAUUCUAGUUGUGAUUCCCUUGUCCAUUAGGAACUCAACUGCAAAUCUGUCAUAUGCUGAAUCUCCAACCUCAUCAAGGGUGGAUACUGGCAGCUGAAAUUGGAAUUGAAUUUUACGGACUCCGUAGAAAGAAUUACCAGAGUUCAAGCACAUUUUUCAGCAUUCCCUGGUGUUUUUCAAUGCUAUAUGAGGAGAAGAAAUGCCAAGCAGCCAGGCAAAUACUAGAGAGGAAUCUUUGAAAAGAAGGGAGGGCCUCUGUCAAUAGAGAGAUAUAAUGAGAGGAAAACCAAUCAGAUGUGCCUGUCAGCCUCUGUAUAUUGAAGGGCUGUUCUUCUUGAGCUAUUAAAAGGAUGAAUAUUUAUAGGAGAAGACAUGAAAGCGAGAUCAGAGGUACAAGAUGCAUUUCUUUUUACUUGCAGAAGAAAUAUAAAGGAUUGCAGUUGGUUAGCUACACCCACAUAAAAAGCCAUUGGUG